GGACCCGCACAAGUAGUGGAGCAUGUGGUUUAAUUCGAAGAUACGCGCAGAACCUUACCAACACUUGACAUGUUCGUCGCGACUCUAAGAGAUUAGAGUUUUCGGUUCGGCCGGACGAAACACAGGUGCUGCAUGGCUGUCGUCAGCUCGUGUCGUGAGAUGUUGGGUUAAGUCCCGCAACGAGCGCAACCCUCACUUUUAGUUGCCAUCAUUAAGUUGGGCACUCUGAAAGAACUGCCAGUGAUAAGCUGGAGGAAGGUGGGGAUGACGUCAAGUCCUCAUGGCCCUUACGUGUUGGGCUACACACGUGCUACAAUGGUAUCUACAACAGGAAGCAAGACUGCGAGGUGGAGCAAAUCUCUUAAAGCUUGUCUCAGUUCGGAUAGGAGUCUGCAACUCGACUCCUUGAAGUUGGAGUCGCUAGUAAUCG
rnacentral:rRNA from 1 species